CAGUCGCCGCGGGAAUACGAAGGGGGCUAGCGUUGUUCGGAAUUACUGGGCGUAAAGGGCGCGUAGGCGGCCAUUCAAGUUAGAUGUGAAAGCCCUGGGCUCAACCUAGGAAUUGCAUUUGAUACUGUUUGGCUUGAGUUCGGGAGAGGUGAGUGGAAUUCCCAGUGUAGAGGUGAAAUUCGUAGAUAUCGGGAAGAACACCAGUGGCGAAGGCGGCUCACUGGACCGACACUGACGCUGAGGCGCGAAAGCGUGGGGAGCAAACAGGAUUAGAGACCCCGGUAGUCCCUGUCUCUUAUAC
rnacentral:rRNA from 1 species